GCCGGGGUACCCUAGUCAGGAAAGGGGCAGGCCUGGAGAGUCUGUGGCCCCUUGGGCCUCGUGGGUUCAAAUCCCACCCCCGGCGCCA
rnacentral:tRNA from 1 species